UCACACAUCUCACUGCCUGUCUUUCUCCUCCUUGCAGGUGGCUCCUGCACUGGCUCCUGCAAAUGCAAGGACUGCAAAUACACCUCCUGCAAGAAGAGCUGCUGCUCAUGCUGCCCCACGGACUGUGCCCAUUGCGCCCAGGGCGGCACCUGCAGGGAGCCUGGACAAGUGCAGCUGCUAUGUGUGAAGUCGGGGGAGAGCCUGCUCCCCAAGUAACCAGAGCAACAUGUUCAACCCGCUUUUUUUUCCUUUUUUUCAGUCCACCCUGGGCCUUUGGCCACACUCUCUUGCUGUGAAAUAUGUGAUGAAAGAUAAGAAAAGUG